rnacentral:misc_RNA from 1 species
AACGCACAUUGCGCCCCCUGGCAUUCCGGGGGGCAUGCCUGUCCGAGCGUCAUUUCUGCCCUCAAGCACGGCUUGUGUGUUGGGUGCGGUCCCCCCGGGGACCUGCCCGAAAGGCAGCGGCGACGUCCGUCUGGUCCUCGAGCGUAUGGGGCUCUGUCACUCGCUCGGGACGGACCUGCGGGGGUUGGUCACCACCAUAUUUUACCACGGUUGACCUCGGAUCAGGUAGGAGUUACCCGCUGAACUUAA